GUUCCCUGCGUCAGAAUCUCGGCCCCCAGGCCUGCACCCUUGGGGUCUCCACGCACAUUCGAGUCCCUUCAACCGCGCCUCCCACCGCGAUCUCGUGUGUCAAAGCCAGACCUGGUCAUCUUUUUGGAGUAAGAAAAGGAGCUCUGGGAUAUGAAGAGAAAGGAGAACACAUCCAUCCACCCAGGUCUUGCUAUAUCUAAGCCAGACCUACGUACCUUUUCGGAGCAGAAGAGAAAGUCCUGGGAUGUGAAGUAGAGGAAGACAGUAGUUGUACAACCAGGUGAAGUGAUGACUGCAUUUCUGCCUGGAGUUGAGGUCACAGAAUCACAAACCCAAAGUCUCCAAAAAGUGCUGAAAGCAGAAAACUGCCAAGAAUACUCUACCUGGCACACUUGUCCUUCAAAGUGGAGAGAAGUUUCCCAGGCAAGUGUAGGCUGAAGGAGUUGACUGGCCUUUGGAGAUAUGUUAAAGCAACUUCUUCAAGCUGAAAUGAAAGGACAUGUAAUUCGAUUUAUACUUUCACAUGUUUUCCUGUUACCAACUAGUAAAGGUAAACACAUAGUUAAAUUCAGAAUAUUCUCAUGUUGUGUUGGUGGUGGGUAAAUCACCCUAACUCUAGCAUGGAAAUUACAAGUAUUAAAAAUAAUUGUAACAAAUAAUUU